GGGGUGGGAGUAAGACAAGCAACGAUUGGUCAGACCUGGGCCUACGUCUAGGCGGGAGCUUCUGGGGGCGGAGGAAGCGGGUGGGGGCCGGUGGAGUGGCAGGGUAACAAGAUGGCGGCGGAGACGGUGGAGCUUCAUAAAUUGAAGCUCGCGGAACUAAAGCAAGAAUGUCUUGCACGUGGUUUGGAGACCAAAGGUAUAAAACAAGAUCUCAUCAACAGGCUCCAGGCAUAUCUUGAAGAGCAUGCCGAAGAGGAGGCAAAUGAAGAAGAUGUACUGGGAGAUGAAACAGAGGAAGAAGAAACAAAGCCCAUAGAACUGCCUGUCAAAGAGGAAGAACCCCCUGAAAAAACUGUUGAUAUGGCAGCAGAGAAGAAAGUGGUAAAAAUUACAUCUGAGAUGCCACAGACUGAGAGAAUGCAGAAGAGGGCUGAACGAUUCAAUGUACCCGUGAGCUUGGAAAGUAAGAAAGCUGCUCGGGCAGCUAGGUUUGGGAUUUCUUCAGUUCCAACAAAAGGUCUGUCAUCUGACACCAAGCCUAUGGUUAACCUGGAUAAGCUAAAGGAAAGAGCACAAAGAUUUGGUUUGAAUGUUUCUUCAAUCUCUAGAAAGUCUGAAGAUGAUGAGAAGCUGAAAAAGAGGAAGGAGAGAUUUGGGAUUGUCACAAGUUCAGCUGGAACUGGAACCACAGAGGAUACAGAGGCAAAGAAGAGGAAAAGAGCAGAGCGCUUUGGGAUUGCAUGAUGAAAAGUUCCUGAUGCUUUCUCUUCUUCGGUGGUUUCCAUUUUCAAUUCUUCUUGGUCACAUAUAUACCUAAGUGCACAGUCACAUGCCUACAUCCUGCCUCACAGUGAGGGAGCAUGUACCCCAGGUACAUCCAUGAACUCCGGCAGCAAUUUGACCUACUGCUGUUCCAACUUUAAGGUUCAAGUGCUGGAUUGUGUCAUGUGACCAUCCCAAAACUCAGAGCACCCUAUGGCCAUCUUUGCCCUCUUGUCACAUAACUUGAAAACUGCCUGAUGGCCUUUUUGCAAUGGUUCCUUCCAGGAAGCCUUGAUUUCAGUGAAGAAGUCCUUUCCCGGCAUUCCAAUGCCCUGUCAGCCCCAUAUUCCUCAGACAUUCUUAACAAAGGCAAUCACGCACAUGAUGUAACAAAUACACAAA